GGACAAGAUGAUGGAUCCGGGUGGUGUGCAAGGUGCUGCUGCUGUGUCCCCGCCCCCCAUCACAAACACACCCCGCGCCCGCCGGUGCCCUUCCUCCUUGCUGCCUGCUCCUCUCCUAGGGGCCCUUGCUCCUACGUGCACCUUCUCUUGAGACGGUGCUCGCAGCACGAUCUGGAUGUCAUGUGGCCUUGUCUGGGAUCAGGUCACCCUCCGCCAAGUGGCCUAGUAGCCUUGGACUCAAGCCUCAGCUGGCAGAGCUGGAGGAAGGGGGGCUGCACCUCGGUGGAUGUCCUAGGGUAGAAGGAGUUGGAACCGGGGAGCCCCUCGCCCCCAUUCACACACUCAGACUCCACCUCAGAUCCGGCGCCUGCUCUAAGGGGACUUGGCCCAGUGUUCCAGCUCACCCGCUGUCAACGGGUCUAAAACAUACAGCAAGGAGCGUCUGGGUGCUCAGGCGUUUCCAUCGAGCGUGACUUAGAGGUUUGGAGAUGUGGAACCAAGGGCUCUAUCCAAACGAGCAGGUUGUCUUCAUAAAGUACGAGGCAUCGAUGCGAUGAACUUUUUCACAGAACAUUUUUAAAAUGCCCAUAAGAUAUGACAAAGAGCUAGCGGCUGGCUCGUGGUGGGAGGGCUAAGAAUGGGCGCUGCGCACUUAAAAGGUGCUCCCUUUGUCAAGAGUUUAUUUGCCUCUUAGUCCUCUCUGCACUGAACGAGGGGCUCAAGCUCACACCCCUGAGUUCAAGGGUCACACCCCAUUCCUUUUUUUCUUUAAUAAAAAGAUUGCAUUGAUUGAUU